UUCCUCACCGUACCAGCCCUCUGCUGGACCUCUUUAAUUAAGCAGAACAGUCUCUGCCAUCCAGUAUUUAAGAUACUCACCUGAAUCGCCCCCUAGUACAGUGGUAAUACAGCUUGGAAAGAAAGAGCAACAGCUCAUUCUACCUGUGUGAGCAAAGGGACUUUCACCUGGCUGCAGAUUCCCCGGUGGUCGCGCUGUUACCCAAGUUUGGUUUAAGAAGCAACAUUGAGAAAGAAGAAAGAAAACUGAAGUGUGUGUGUGUCCUCCCCUUGAAACAGCUUCAGGUUUUUAACAUCUACUUCGGCUUCCACUGAUGGUCCUUCAAGCAACAGAGGAAAAGGAACCGGAGGAACUGGUCCAUCUGAGUGAAAUUCUGAGCUACAACCCAGAAAAUCUUCUCAAAAUAGAACAAAAUAUCAUGAUGAUUGAGAGAGGCUCCUGAUGACUAGAAAAAGCAAACACCACACCCAUCUUCAGGAUGGCCAGGAAAGAGGACCUGGGGAACUACAGGCUGGACAGCCUCAUCUCAUGUACUUGGAAGGUUAUGAUGAGAAUCCUCACAUGAAGGACGAGAGGGUGACCAGAAGAAACUAGCAUGGAUUUAUGAGGGUUACAUUUUACCUGACCAAAUGUACAGCCUUCUAUGAUGAGAGAGGAUUGGUGGGUAAGGUGUGAGCCAUAGACUUGGCAUUAACCUCUAU